rnacentral:rRNA from 1 species
GACAGCAGUAGCCGCGGGAAUACGGAGGGUGCAAGCGUUAUCCGGAUUUAUUGGGUUUAAAGGGUCCGUAGGCGGAUCUGUAAGUCAGUGGUGAAAUCUCACAGCUUAACUGUGAAACUGCCAUUGAUACUGCAGGUCUUGAGUAAAUUUGAAGUGGCUGGAAUAAGUAGUGUAGCGGUGAAAUGCAUAGAUAUUACUUAGAACACCAAUUGCGAAGGCAGGUCACUAAGAUUUAACUGACGCUGAUGGACGAAAGCGUGGGGAGCGAACAGGAUUAGAUACCCCAGUAGUCCCUGUCUCUUAUAC